GAAAUCUGGUGGCCUCAGGUCAUCCGAGUUGUAAUCUAUAGAAGUGUUUUCCGUGCUGGCUCAUGUACAAGUCCCUUGGAACAGGGCGUCAUAGAGGGUGAGAAUCCCGUCCUUGACAUGAACUACCAGUGCUCUGUGAUACAUUUUCAACGAGUCGAGUUGUUUGGGAAUGCAGCUCAAAAUGGGUGGUAAAUUCCAUCUAAAGCUAAAUAUUGGCGAGAGACCGAUAGCGAACAAGUACCGUGAGGGAAAGAUGAAAAGCACUUUGGAAAGAGAGUUAAACAGUAUGUGAAAUUGUUAAAAGGGAAACGAUUGAAGUCAGUCGUGCUCUUUGGAUUCAGCCGGUUCUGCCGGUGUACUUCCUUUGAGUGGGGUCAACAUCAGUUUUGAUCGCUGGAUAAAGGCUGGAGGAACGUAGCACCCCCGGGUGAACUUAUAGCCUCCUGUCACAUACAGUGGUUGGGACUGAGGAACGCAGCACGCCUUUAUGGCCAGGAUCCGUCCAUGUACGUGCUUAGGAUGUUGACAUAAUGGCUUUAAACGACCCGUCUUGA
rnacentral:rRNA from 1 species